rnacentral:rRNA from 1 species
UACGUAGGGUGCGAGCGUUAAUCGGAAUUACUGGGCGUAAAGGGUGCGUAGGCGGCGGAGUAAGUUGGGUGUGAAAUCCCGAGGCUCAACCUCGGAAUUGCAUUCAAUACUGCUUCGCUCGAGUACUGGAGAGGAGGCUGGAAUUUACGGUGUAGCAGUGAAAUGCGUAGAUAUCGUAAGGAAGGCCGGUGGCGAAAGCGAGCCUCUGGACAGUUACUGACGCUGAUGCACGAAGGCCAGGGGAGCAAACGGG